rnacentral:pre_miRNA from 1 species
GACACCAUGUUGGGCUGCAUCAGUCAUGCCAUAUUACAAAACCUAAUGCAAUGUGACUGAUGCAGGCUGACAUGAUGUGU